rnacentral:misc_RNA from 1 species
GAUGAAGAACGCAGUGAAAUGCGAUAAGUAGUGUGAAUUGCAGAAUUCAGUGAAUCAUCGAAUCUUUGAACGCUCAUUGCGCCUCCUGGCAUUCCGGGAGGCAUGCCUGUUCGAGCGUCAUCAAACCCCAUCGUGCAAAUGAAUUAUUUUUUUUGCGCGGAAGUGACGAUUGAGCGAGAAUAACAAAUCCUCUCGCACCUCGUCGAAAUGAUUGCGGGCGGAAUUUGGGAUCGGGUUCCUCGGCGUAGUGUAUCAAUGCAUAUUUAUGCAACUUGCCGCGGAGUUGAGCCUGACCCACGCGUUCUCGCCGUACAAACACCUCAUUACUUUACAAGUUUUUGACCUCGGAUCAGGUAGGGAUACCCGCUGAACUUAAGCAUAUCAAUAAGCGGAGGA